rnacentral:rRNA from 1 species
UCCUACGGGGGGCAGCAGUGAGGAAUAUUGGUCAAUGGGCGAGAGCCUGAACCAGCCAAGUCGCGUGAGGGAAGACGGUCCUAUGGAUUGUAAACCUCUUUUGCCGGGGAGCAAAAAGCGGUACGUGUACCGCAUCGAGAGUACCCGGAGAAAAAGCAUCGGCUAACUCCGUGCCAGCAGCCGCGGUAAUACGGAGGAUGCGAGCGUUAUCCGGAUUUAUUGGGUUUAAAGGGUGCGCAGGCGGCGAGUUAAGUCAGCGGUAAAAUUUCGGGGCUCAACCCCAACGAGCCGUUGAAACUGGCUUG